UACGGAGGGGGCGAGCGUUAUUCGGAAUUAUUGGGCGUAAAGGGCGCGUAGGCGGCUUGGUAAGUCAAAGGUGAAAUCCCUCGGCUCAACUGAGGAAUUGCCUUUGAAACUGCCUGGCUUGAGGCCGGGAGGGGGUAGCGGAAUUCCCAGUGUAGCGGUGAAAUGCGUAGAUACUGGGAGGAACACCAGUGGCGAAGGCGGCUACCUGGACCGGUUCUGACGCUGAUGCGCGAAAGCGUGGGGAGCAAACAGG
rnacentral:rRNA from 1 species